UAGCUCAGUUGGUAGAGUGCUUGCCUGGCAUGCACCAGGCCCUGGGUUCAAUCCCCAG
rnacentral:tRNA from 1 species